UACGAAGGGUGCAAGCGUUACUCGGAAUUACUGGGCGUAAAGCGUGCGUAGGUGGUUGUUUAAGUCUGUUGUGAAAGCCCUGAGCUCAACCUGGGAAUUGCAGUGGAUACUGGGCGACUAGAGUGUGGUAGAGGGUAGUGGAAUUCCCGGUGUAGCAGUGAAAUGCGUAGAGAUCGGGAGGAACAUCCAUGGCGAAGGCAGCUACCUGGACCAACACUGACACUGAGGCACGAAAGCGUGGGGAGCAAACAGG
rnacentral:rRNA from 1 species